rfam:Nitrospinae bacterium RIFCSPLOWO2_12_FTLL_47_7 rifcsplowo2_12_scaffold_268439, whole genome shotgun sequence.
AAGAGCCGGAUGCGGUAACGCCGCACGUCCGGUUCUGUGAGGGCAAAAUCCAGUAAUGGAAGAGCUACUCGAC